rnacentral:ncRNA from 1 species
AGCGUUUAUUUUUUAAAUUUAAGUUAUUAAAUCUACUUCAAAAAUGAUUAGAUAUUUAUUUUAUUUAUUAUUAUAUUUAAUUUAUAUAUUUUUGCGUAUUUAUACGUGUUUAUGUUUGAUUUUUUCAUUAAAAAAAAACAGCCCACCCAGCCAGCUGACUGCUUGCUCACUGUGCUCACUGCUCAGAUGCCUCAGACGGCUCAGAGCAACUUGUCUCCGUUACCUAGGCCUGCCUGUAUGGAACGCCAUAGUGAUAAUGAAUUAAGUGCUUGAAAAUUUAGUGCUCGGUCCAAUUAAGUGCUCGAAAAUCGGGUGUCUCGGGCGGCCGGCAACGUUUACUUUGAACAAAUUAGAGUGCUCAACGUAGUGUAUCCCAACGCCUGAAUAUCGCAGCAUGGAAUGAUGGAAUAGGACCUCGGACCGAUUUUGCUGGUCUUUUACUUUUGGACCCGAGGUAAUGGUCAAUAGAGACGGACGGGGGCAUUCGUACUACGGCGACAGAGGUGAAAUUCUUGGACCGCCGCAAGACGAACAACAGCGAAGGCAUUUGCCAAGAAUGUUUUCCUUGAUCAAGAACGAAAGUUAGAGGUUCGAAGGCGAUCAGAUACCGCCCUAGUUCUAACCAUAAACGAUGCCAACCCCUUGUUACCCUCCCAUCGUCAUUCUGAGCU